UACGAAGGGGGCUAGCGUUGCUCGGAAUCACUGGGCGUAAAGCGCACGCAGGCGGAUCGUUAAGUCAGGGGUGAAAUCCUGGAGCUCAACUCCAGAACUGCCUUUGAUACUGAAGAUCUUGAGUUCGGGAGAGGUGAGUGGAACUGCGAGUGUAGAGGUGAAAUUCGUAGAUAUUCGCAAGAACACCAGUGGCGAAGGCGGCUCACUGGCCCGAUACUGACGCUGAGGCACGAAAGCGUGGGGAGCAAACAGG
rnacentral:rRNA from 1 species